rnacentral:tRNA from 1 species
GCCUUAGUAGCUUAAAUAAAAGCACCGGUCUUGUAAUCCGAAGAUCGGAGGUUAAACCCCUCCCUAAAGCC